AAAGCGGGACGGGCGGUCGCUGCUCAUUUUGAGUGGAGGAAAGUCCGGGCUCCAUCGGACACGAUGACGGAUAACAUCCGCCGACCGUAAGGUCAGGGAAAGUGCAACAGAAAGGAUACCGCCGGCAAACCGGUUAUUUUAUAAAAUAGAUGUAUCGGCAAGCCGGUAAGGGUGAAACGGCGAGGUAAGAGCUCACCGCGAUUCGGGUAACCGAAUCGGCAUGGCAAACCCCAUCGGGAGCAAAGUCAAACAGGAUCAAGGCUGUCCGAGCCGUUAUCAGAUCCGGGUGGACUGCUUGAGGAAUCGGGUAACCGGUCUCCCAGAUAAAUGAUCGCCGCUCCGGUUUUUUCAACCGGAGAACAGAACCCGGCUUACAGUCCCGCUUCUUUU
rnacentral:RNase_P_RNA from 1 species